CCAGGCUGGAGUGCAGUGGUGCAAUCUCGGCUCGCUGCAACCUCCACCUCCCGGGUUCAAGCGAUUCUCCUGCCUCAGCCUCCCAAGUAGCUGGGAAUACAGGCUCCCGACACCAUGCCCAGCUAAUUUUUUGUAUUUUUAGUAGAGAUGGGGUUUCAUCAUGUUGGCCAGGCUGGUCUUGAACUCCUGCCCUCAGGUGAUCCACCCGCCUCAGCCUCCCAAAGUGCUGGGAUUACAGGUGUGAACCACCACACCUGGCCAACAAUAUUUGUUUUAAUUAGCCAGGCGUGGUAGCAUUUGUCCUAGCAAUUUGGGAGGUUGAGGUGGGAGAAUCACUUCAGCCCACUAGGUCGAGGCUGUAGUGAGCUAUAAUUGUACCACUGCACUCCAGCCUCGGGGACAGAGUGAGACCCUGUCUGCAAAUAAACAAAUAAAACAUCAGGCUGGGCUUGAGCAUCUAUUCCUGCUCAAAAUUUCGCAGGCUUCUCAGAAGAAAAUCCAAACCCCUUACAGUGACCCAGUUUGCCCUUGAGGCCUCCACCCACACCCCCUUCCCCCCAGUCUUAGGGGGUGGCCUGGCUGUUCCCUUCAACGGCAACGCUCUGCCUCCAUUGUUGGCCUCCUCUGCAGGGAGGGACUGUCUGAGCACCUGCCCGUGUCUGUGCAGCAUGGCACACUGACGUCAGGCCCACGUGCAUGCCCAGGUGGCCAGUCACACGCCAGGUGCUCCCUCAGUGUUGGCCAAGUGAGAGGAGCACACCUUCCGGGCGUUCAGACACCUCCCCGUGGCAGACACCGUUCGUUGCUACCAAACAGCCACCUCCUUCCUAAUGGGCUCCCAUUUUUCAGUGCUGGGCAAAGGUCCCUUGAUCUUGGAGUUGCAGCCUCUUUCUCUCCAAGGAGGGCGGUGACCAGCCUGAGCCAGUCAAUCCAGUGAUUGGUUCAGGAGUAGCCUGUGACCAGGAGUCCUGGUAGUGAACGACUGGGGCAGCCCUGGGGGUGAGGACCUUGCGCAGCCGUCACAGGCCCUGAUUGGACACUGGGCAGCUGCUAACCCAGUGUCUCCAGCUGCCUACCUGGAGAGCUCCAAGCGUAAGAAAAUAAACCCUGCCUGUUGAAGCCACUGCUAGUGAGGGUUCUGUUAUUUGCAGCCAAAAGCCUUGCUGGAAUGUGGCCUAUGAAUGGUUGUGUGGCGGGCACAUGUGCCUGCGUGAGCCUGUGGUGUCAGACAGUGUGCUGAGGACUCUCCACGCAACCGUUUCAUCCCUUUUCAUCUGGUUUGAGGGCUGCAUUGACCACACCCCAAAUCCUGCUGUGUUUGGAAUCACCCCCAUAAGGUGGUGGUUUCCUUGGGGUGCCCAGCAGCCCCUGAUGCUGGCAUAAGGGGGGCCCUUGUGCACUUGUGGUCCGAGUGGAGGUGCUGGCCCCAGGUGGCGCUGUAGAAAGUGAAGCAGAGGUUCCUCUUCAGACUUUCCUCCCCAUCUAGGAGUAAAUAGUAACUUCUCUUAAAAGCAAAAUUUAUUCAAAGACCUGUACUAACAUUCUUAAAUAACUGCUAGCCGAAUAAAGAACUCAAUGUCCUUUAUGUUCUUAGCUCCCACAAUUUAGCCUAAAUAUCUGCCCUGGCAUGCUUAAACUGGCCCAAGCAAGCAUUACGUCACAGCCUGUUCCUCUUCCUUAUUUGAAGGUGUUUUUACCUUUCUCAUCAUUCCACAAGUUACUUCCUCCUUCCUUUGUUCUCCUCUCUCUUUUCCUCUUUUAAAAAGUGCUAAGUUGCUAGCCAAUCGGGACAAAUACAGAACGUGAGGUCCCGUUCCAGCCGAUGGAAACCGGACACGGCAGUAAGGUGGAC
rnacentral:lncRNA from 1 species